GUGUGUUUGGGUUCUACAUGAAGGGGGGGGCGCUACAGUGAGAGAGGUGUGUGUGUUUGGGUUCUACAUGAAUGGGGGUGCUACAGUGAGAGAGGUGUGUGUGUUUGGGUUCUACAUGAAGGGGGUGCUACAGUGAGAGAGGUGUGUGUGUUUGGGUUCUACAUGAAGGGGGGCUACAGUGAGAGAGGUGUGUGUGUUUGGGUUCUACAUGAUUGGGGGUGCUACAGUGAGAGAGGUGUGUGUGUUUGGGUUCUACAUGAAGGGGGGCGCUACAGUGAGAGAGGUGUGUGUGUUUGGGUUCUACAUGAAGGGGG
ensembl:lncRNA